UUAAUUACUUAUAUUUUCUUUGUACUUUUAACCCAAUGGGGUUGAGGAUACAUUCCUCUUUUCCUGCGUACGCCGCUGCAUGUGAGUAAUGCACGGGCUCGUAUAAUCGCGGGGACGGGCGAGAUAAUUCGGAAUCGGUUUACGAACACGGAUACUUGUGCGACGGUUGAUUUCGGUAUCGCGGUAGAAGAUAAAAAUUAUAUCCAAGAUUCAAUACGAAUUUAAGAUGCU